rnacentral:lncRNA from 1 species
AUGCCUCCUUCAAGCAUGUCACAGCGGAGGGGCACUAACGUGGCCGGGGGAGCAGGGGCAGGGGGUGCUUUUAAGAUGGGCACUCCCUGUGCACACUCACCUUUGCAGAGAGGCGAGUUGCUGAGGCAGGACAGCCUGGAGCUGCUGGAGCCAUGUCCUCGAGACACUGGGAGGCGAAGGGCAGCCUCAGACAGGAGCCCCGCUGUUCUUCCAGACAGAGCGCUGGGCCCUCCUGCCAGUGCACCUGGGGUCUCUCCUCCCGAGGCUCUGGCUUCCCAGGAAGGUGGGGUGGGGAGGAGCCCAGGAGGGCAGCGGUGGACCAGGGAGAGAAGGAGGAAGAAGGUGACAGGAGAGAGGAGGCCCUUCUUUAAAGGCAGCCAGCUCCUCCCAGGGCAGAAGGAUCUUGGGGACAGGGCCAGGCAUGGCAACCAGGCCUCCCAUCCCCUGUGCCCCUUACCUGUCUUCAGACCUAAGACAGGACAUGCGUGUGCCUGUGUCUGUGACCAUGUGCCCCAGACUCCUCAGAUGGUCACUCAGAUCUUUGCAGUCACACAGUCAUCCUUAGGUGCCCACCCCAUCUGCCCACAGGAAGUCCCGUCCUCAGCCAGGCACCCUCCACCGCAUCCCUACUGGGCACCUCGGGCAGCCUCUCACCCUGACCCCGGCCGUGGCCCAGCCCAGCAGUCCUUCCCCAGCUCCCCCCGCACAGCCGUGCAGAAGGCAUGGGGACAGCAGAAGGGAAUUCCAAGGCAGGACUGGCUCCUCCGUGCCCUGCUGUCCCCCUCUUCUACGCCCCCAGCCUCCCCCCAGUGUGGCUCAGCUCCCCAACAGGGAGCCCCUCACUGCUCAGCUCCCUCUUUCCUUAUCUGCACCUGUAUCCUUCCUGCCCUUCCCUCUCCGAUAGUCUCCUGGCCAGCAGAGUGGACGUUGUCCAAUUCGGGGCACCAAUCUUGUAGAAUUGUGACUAGCGCUCUCAGGCUUGUGCAAGGUGGCCGCAUGGUGGUUGGCCUCCUCUGCAGGCAGCCCUUCUCUCUCUGCACCUCUCCCUCCCUGCCUGCCCGCCCCUGCUUCCUCUCCCGCUUCCCUCCUGCCUACUCCCAAAGUGUCCUCACACACAACCACAAGCCACUGAGACCUUCCUCAGGUCCUGUCUCUGGGGAGAUGGGCAGUAGGUGGACCAUGCUGGGCCGCGAGGACCCCACAGCACCCCCCCCAUGCACUCAGAGGGCCUGGUCCCCAGAAGGCUGA